GAUGAAGAACGUAGCGAAAUGCGAUAAGUAAUGUGAAUUGCAGAAUUCAGUGAAUCAUCGAAUCUUUGAACGCACAUUGCGCCCGCCAGUAUUCUGGCGGGCAUGCCUGUUCGAGCGUCAUUACAACCCUCAGGCCCCCGGGCCUGGCGUUGGGGAUCGGCGGAAGCCCCCUGCGGGCACAACGCCGUCCCCCAAAUACAGUGGCGGUCCCGCCGCAGCUUCCAUUGCGUAGUAGCUAACACCUCGCAACUGGAGAGCGGCGCGGCCACGCCGUAAAACACCCAACUUCUGAACGUUUGACCUCGGAUCAGGUAGGAAUACCCGCUGAACUUAAGCAUAUCAAUAAGCGGAGGA
rnacentral:misc_RNA from 1 species